ensembl:lncRNA
CAGGUCCUAUGUAGGAGGCAGCAGAGACUCUGCUCUCCUCGUUUGGAUUAAUUCUGAUAUAAUAACUGUUGGUUUAUUUAUCGGUGGAGCAGCAGAACCUUUUCCACAGACAGUUUUCCUGCCCGUUGGCUUGUUUUAACCAGUUUUCUGCCUCCAGCUGAUUCUACCAGCAGACACUGAAAAGACUCUGAUAGUUCGAGUGAAAGUAACAGUUCCUCCUGAAGGUCAGAGAUCGCAGCAUCUGAGGGCCUCUUCAAAAGAAGAUGUAGUUGAUGAAGGCGUUCUGGAGCAGGACCAGAAAGACCACGACCAAGCAGCCUUGAGAUCUUAGGCAGCAUCUCCCUCAGGUCCCUCUCUAUCUCCCCACACAUCCACCAACCACUGGAACACAUCUCCAAAGUUCUGCCGGGCCAGCUCAGCUUCCCCUCAGAAGAAGUGGCGCCACCUGCCAGAUGAAGGAGCCUUUUGAGAGGCAGCUGGCAUCGUGAUUGGACUGUACUUUGGUCUGUUCCAAUCCAGCUUCAGCUCCAGAGACGGCAGGCGGGACGAGUCAACGGAGGCCGGGUGGACGAAGUCAUGCAGCUGAGUACAAUCCAGAAAACAACAGAGGAGGAGUGCAGGGCCAGAACAAAC